rnacentral:lncRNA from 10 species
GAGCACCACCAUAACCCAGAAGGCUACAACAACUGGAAGCAGAUUGGGAGUGAGGAGGAAGUGGGCAGAGGAUGUCUGGUGGCCUUGGUGACCAGCAGCUGAGGACCCAUUGAUACCCAGGUGGAGAGGGAGGUGCCGAUUCUCCUGAAUCACGAGAGCAAAGAAAUCACACGUUCUGAGGCCACGAGCUGUCUGCUUUCACCGCGCCUCCCCUCUCAUCAGUGUGGAAGAAAAUCACCAUAUGCGUGAAUGUGACAGCUGAGGCUCAUGAAGACCUGAGUCAGGAGAAAC